GAUGAAGAACGCAGCGAAAUGCGAUACGUAAUGUGAAUUGCAGAAUUCAGUGAAUCAUCGAAUCUUUGAACGCACAUUGCGCCCCCUGGUAUUCCGGGGGGCAUGCCUGUUCGAGCGUCAUUUCACCACUCAAGCCUCGCUUGGUAUUGGGCAACGCGGUCCGCCGCGUGCCUCAAAUCGACCGGCUGGGUCUUCUGUCCCCUAAGCGUUGUGGAAACUAUUCGCUAAAGGGUGUUCGGGAGGCUACGCCGUAAAACAACCCCAUUUCUAAGGUUGACCUCGGAUCAGGUAGGGAUACCCGCUGAACUUAAGCAUAUCAAUAAGCGGAGGA
rnacentral:misc_RNA from 1 species